rnacentral:lncRNA from 1 species
CCCUGUGCAUAUCUAUUGCUUAUGUAAAAUUCCAUAUAAUGAAAUAGCUCGAAACGUAUUGAAAAUAAAAAUAGUAAGAGGAGGUGUAAUUCUAGUGAAAAUAAAUUGCAUCCACAUUUUAGCUAUUGGAAACAUUAUAGCUUGAUUGAAAUUGGUCGAUAGUCCGAGGACUGGUCGGAGGUUCCUUUCACCUUAAUUUUUAGUUAAGUAGCUAACAAUGGUUUCCAU